GCCCCAUUAGCUCAGCUGGUUAGAGCGUCGUACUAAUAUCUCCAUCUGAGAUAUCAAGUCAUACGAAGGUCAACAGUUAAAUCCUAUUAUUGGGCA